GAUGAAGAAACGCAGCGAAAUGCGAUAAGUAAUGUGAAUUGCAGAAUUCAGUGAAUCAUCGAAUCUUUGAACGCACAUUGCGCCCGCCAGUAUUCUGGCGGGCAUGCCUGUUCGAGCGUCAUUUCAACCAUCAAGCCCCCGGCUUGUGUUGGGGACCUGCGGCUGCCGCAGGCCCUGAAAACCAGUGGCGGGCUCGCUAGUCACUCCGAGCGUAGUAAUACAUCUCGCUCAGGGCGUGCUGCGGGUUCCGGCCGUUAAAAAGCCUUAUUUACCCAAGGUUGACCUCGGAUCAGGUAGGAAGACCCGCUGAACUUAAGCAUAUCAAUAAGCGGAGGA
rnacentral:misc_RNA from 1 species